rnacentral:rRNA from 1 species
UACGUAGGGUGCGAGCGUUAAUCGGAAUUACUGGGCGUAAAGCGUGCGCAGGCGGUUAGUUAAGUCUGAUGUGAAAGCCCCGGGCUCAACUUGGGAAUGGCAUUGGAAACUGGCUGGCUAGAGUGCGGCAGAGGGGGGUGGAAUUCCGCGUGUAGCAGUGAAAUGCGUAGAGAUGCGGAGGAACACCGAUGGCGAAGGCAGCCCCCUGGGCCGGCCCUGACACUGAGACGCGAAGGCGUGGGGAGCGAACGGG